rnacentral:rRNA from 1 species
GUGGGGAAUCUUCCGCAAUGGACGAAAGUCUGACAGAGCAACGCCGCGUGAGUGAAGAAGGUUUUCGGAUCGUAAAGCUCUUUCGUUAGGGACGAACGUGCUCUUUGUGAAUAAUGAGGAGUAAUGACGGUACCUAAAUAAGAAGCCACGGCUAACUACGUGCCAGCAGCCGCGGUAAUACGGAGGUGGCAAGCGUUGUCCGGAAUUAUUGGGCGUAAAGCGCGCGCAGGCGGGAUAUCAAGUCUGUCUUAAAAGUGCGAGGCUCAACCUCGUGAGGGGACAGAAACUGGUAUUCUUGAGUGUCGGAGAGGAAAGUGGAAUUCCAAGUGUAGCGGUGAAAUGCGUAGAGAUUUGGAAGAACACCAGUGGCGAAGGCGACUUUCUGGACGAUGUCUGACGCUGAGGCGCGAAAGCUAGGGGAGCGAACGGGAUUAGAAACCCUUGUAGUCC